rnacentral:rRNA from 1 species
UACGGAGGGAGCUAGCGUUGUUCGGAAUUACUGGGCGUAAAGCGCGCGUAGGCGGCUUUGUAAGUUAGAGGUGAAAGCCCGGGGCUCAACUCCGGAAUUGCCUUUAAGACUGCAUCGCUAGAAUCCGGGAGAGGUGAGUGGAAUUCCGAGUGUAGAGGUGAAAUUCGUAGAUAUUCGGAAGAACACCAGUGGCGAAGGCGGCUCACUGGACCGGUAUUGACGCUGAGGCGCGAAAGCCAGGGGAGCAAACGGG